rnacentral:tRNA from 1 species
GUAUAGCUCAGUGGUGGAGCAGAUGCUUAGCAUGCAUGAGGUCCUGGGUUCAAUCCCUAGUAC